rfam:Gymnopus luxurians FD-317 M1 unplaced genomic scaffold GYMLTscaffold_17, whole genome shotgun sequence.
GCAUUAAUGGGGUAGUGGUAACCUGGGUCGUUGCCAUUGUUCAAUUAUGUUCGACCCGCCGGGGGUUCGAUUCCCCCUUAAUGCA